UACGGAGGGUGCAAGCGUUGUUCGGAAUUACUGGGCGUAAAGGGCGCGUAGGCGGUUUGCUAAGUCGAAUGUGAAAACUCCGGGCUUAACCCGGAGCCUGCAUUCGAUACUGGCAGGCUAGAGUUCUGGAGGGGAUAGCGGAAUUCCAGGUGUAGCGGUGAAAUGCGUAGAUAUCUGGAGGAACACCGGUGGCGAAGGCGGCAUCCUGGACCGAUACUGACGCUGAGGAGCGAAAGCCAGGGGAGCAAACGGG
rnacentral:rRNA from 1 species